AAUAGUCCUGAUUGCUUUGGGGUACCACCAACAUCAUCCACAAGGCCUUUGGUUUUCUGGAAACAAAGCUUUUCCUUUAAGCAAGUUACUCCUUUGCUUCCGGAUGACCAGAUUUCACACCCACCUCUGUUCUUUGAAAAAUAAGUUCAUUAAAAAGUUGUGAUCACACCACACCCAUCUCUUCUCUAAUGUGAGCAAUUCUGGCUUUGCAGGCUUUCCUAUUGAGGCAGCUGAUCCCUUUGUCCUUUUUGGUUGCCUUUCUCUAACCACUCUAUUAGAAGCACACACACUGCCCCACCUGUGGGUGCCCUAAGCUGGAAGAGCCUCCCUGAGGAUACUCACCAUUUUCCUGGCUUUCUGGCUGCCAUGGCACACUGAGCUGAGGUUUUAAGAGAAUAGUCCAUGGUGACUCCAGCAGCAUUUCCUUGAGUGGUGGCUGCCAGUUGUGAGCUCAUAAGCAUGCAAAUGUGAUUCAGAUUAUUCUACAGAUUAUUCUACCCAAGACAUUAUCUUGGUGAACACUGAAGCUCAUGUGUCACCCUUCUGUCCCCUCCCUUGUCUUUGUUAAGUACUUCUGGAGUUCUUCACCUACAAGCUCAGCACUUCACCAGACAAAUGAGCUUGCCAUUCACUGCAAACCUGGGCAUGCCAGACACACACUGUUGCUCCAGGCUGCUGCUGAGGGUGUUAAGUAACACCAGAGUGACUUCCAGGGGGUUCUCUUGCUGCUGUUUUUCCAUCCUAAAAAAAGUCACAGUUGAGCCCUGAACUUUCCUUUCCCCUUUCAAAUCACAGAAUGACUUUUCAUUCAGUCCAUGAUGUCUUAGUAUCUUCAUUGCCUUUGCUGAGAAAUUGUCAAGAGCUCCCUGAAAAUCUAAACACAAUAUGAAGAGUAUCUCUGCAUUCUUGUUACCACCCCUAUGGAUUCCAGACUGGUUGCAAGGCUGUCCCUUACAGAAAUCAUAUGGACUGCUUCCCUUGACAUCACACUUCCCUGUGUGUAUGUGGUUUUUUGGCUCUGCUGUUGUAGGAGGGAUGGAGGUCAAACUCCCUGGACUGUUGCUUCCCGAGACCCCUCUAGCUGAGGGGCUGCAGUGGCAAUUCUGAGCUCCUCCUUCUCCAGCACAGAGGCCACUUUUAAUGGCAGUUUACACACCUUGGGUCACCAGUUCUGCAGCUUCAUAUGAGAAAUAUUCUGUGAGUGGUGCCUGGUCCUACUGGUUUACUGACCUCCAGCUUAUCUGUUUGGUCUAUUAUUUCCUGUGAGUUCAGUUCAGGGUGCACUACCUCCUCUGAAGAGCUGCUAUCAAGAAUAUGCUGGGUUUGGGACUCUCUCUCAUGCUUCAGCAGGAAAGACUGGAACAUUAAACCCAAAAGUGCCUGUGGGGUCCCUCCUUUCAAUCAAGAGCUAGUCAGAAAGCAUCAACAGUAACACUGAAGGAGUUUGAUGUGUUACUUUCAUCUCUAUUAGCAUUAUUGAUCCAGGGGAAGGAGAAGCAAACUGCAUGGGAUGGAUGCUGCAGUCACUGAGCACAGACUGUCUCUACUGGAACUGAUCAGAUAUCUGAACUUUGCUAACUUUGUGCAUAAAUGCUCCAACACACUGUUAAAGAGAGGAUACAGCCUGUGGCUGAGAGUUCCUCUUGAAAAGAUUAAAUCUCUUCUAGAACCAUUUGAACAGUGAGGAAAAUUACAAACUUAAAAGCAUUCCAACUCAACUUCUGAAAAUAAGACCACAUACCAAAAUGUUAUAAUCUACUCUUUGUUAUAUUUAAAAGUGCAAGUAUUUUUUAGAAGCUCAAGAUUAUUUCCAUCCAAAAGCUUGAGAAGAAUAAACCAUCCAUCUGUGUCUUGAAUUAUUAUAUAGGUAUAUCUGCUUACAGGUACAAAAUUUAUAAGAAUAUAAUAUGGUGUUUUGCAAAUCUGAAACUUCCAAAGUUAAACACCUUUAAUAAAUCAUCUUCUCCAAUGCGA